rnacentral:rRNA from 1 species
AAGUCAGAUGUGAAAGGCGUAGGCUUAACCUAUGUAAGCAUAUGAAACUGUCAGACUUGAGGUAAGGAGAGGAAAGUGGAAUUCCUAGUGUAGCGGUGAAAUGCGUAGAUAUUAGGAGGAAUACCAGUGGCGAAGGCGACUUUCUGGACUUAAACUGACGCUGAGGAACGAAAGCGUGGGGAGCAAACAGGAUUAGAUACCCUGGUAGUCCACGCCGUAAACGAUGAGUGCUAGGUGUCGGGUAGAAAUAUUCGGUGCCGCAGCUAACGCAAUAAGCACUCCGCCUGGGGAGUACGUACGCAAGUAUGAAACUCAAAGGAAUUGACGGGGACCCGCACAAGCAGCGGAGCAUGUGGUUUAAUUCGAAGCAACGCGAAGAACCUUACCAGGGCUUGACAUGCCCCUGACCGCGCUAGAGAUAGCGAAUUAUCCUUUCGGGGAUACAGGGGACACAGGUGGUGCAUGGUUGUCGUCAGCUCGUGUCGUGAGAUGUUGGGUUAAGUCCCGCAACGAGCGCAACCCUUGUAUUUAGUUGCCAGCAUUAAGUUGGGCACUCUAGAUAGACUGCCGUGGACAACACGGAGGAAGGUGGGGAUGACGUCAAAUCAUCAUGCCCUUUAUGUCCUGGGCUACACACGUGCUACAAUGGUCGGUACAACGAGCAGCAAGCUAGCGAUAGCAAGCGAAUCUCUAAAAGCCGAUCCCAGUUCGGAUUGUAGGCUGCAACUCGCCUACAUGAAGUCGGAGUUGCUAGUAAUCGCGAAUCAGCAUGUCGCGGUGAAUGCGUUCCCGGGUCUUGUACACACCGCCCGUCACACCAUGGGAGUUGUCAAUACCCGAAGCCAGUGAGCUAACCAGAAAUGGAGGCAGCUGUCGAAGGUAGGGGCAAUGACUGGGGUGAAGUCGUAACAAGGUAGCCG